rnacentral:rRNA from 1 species
UUAACAAAAACAUGUCUUUUUGAGUUAAUUUUAAAGUCUGACCUGCCCACUGAAGUUUUUAAAUGGCCGCAGUAUCCUAACUGUGCAAAGGUAGCAUAAUCAUUAGUCUUUUAAUUGAAGGCUGGUAUGAACGGUUGGACGAGGUAUAAGCUGUUUCAUAUAAAUUUAUAAUAGAAUUUUAUAUUUUAGUCAAAAAGCUAAAAUGUUAUUAAAAGACGAGAAGACCCUAUAAAUCUUUAUAUUUUUUUUUGUUUAAAUUUUUUGGAUUUAUUUUAUUUUUAUAAUAAAAAAUAUUUUGUUGGGGUGAUGUUAAAAUUUAAUGAACUUUUAAUUGAAAAAAAUCAUUAAUUUAUGAAUUGUUGAUCCAUUAGUAGUGAUUAUAAGAUUAAGUUACUUUAGGGAUAACAGCGUAAUUUUUUUGGAGAGUUCAUAUCGAUAAAAAAGUUUGCGACCUCGAUGUUGGAUUAAGAUAUAAUUUUAGGUGUAGCCGCUUAAAUGUUAAGUCUGUUCGACUUUUAAAUUCUUACGUGAUCUGAGUUC